GCUGCCGAGACAGCUGGCAUGGACUGUCCACUGGGAAAGGAGCCUGGAGAACGAGAAAAAAAGAGGGACAGUUCUUGGUGAUAAACUGGUGACAGACUAUAAAUUAUGAAAAGGGGAUUUGGCAGAGGAUUUAGAGCUUGCUACCUCUGCUUUUCCCUCCCCUGGGAUUUUAAUGCCAGCCAUGUUCACUGAGUCAUUCAAUUAUCUUAGUCAGAAAAUAAGAAGUGUUAAGAGAAAAGGCUUAGAAUAUAUUUUGCUGAGCAGGGUGUGCGCACAUUUGAGCUGAGAUUUAAAAACAUUUAAACCAGCACUUUGUCCCCCAGGCAAACCUUCGGACUGAGCUCCUUAAUGCGAAGCUUACUGAUGCUGCUGUGCCUGGUGCUCGCUCCUGAGGCGGCUGAAUUGCUGCAGUGCUGUUUCAAAGGUCACAAAACAUUUUGUCCUUUUGAUCAAUUUGAAAUUUUUUUCCCUGCUCCUUUUCUAUAGCAGUUCACGUUGGUCCCAAAGAAAAUGGUAGCAACACAGGAGCGCAGCACCUAAUUCUGCAUUUCGCUGUUUCUGGGCAGCAAAGUCAGGGAUGUAGUUGCUCUGAAAAACGCUGUCCUUCACUGGCAGAAAGGAAUCACCAAAGCAUUCGUGGCUGGGAACAACCAGCUCUUUCUGUACUAAAUAUAAAAUGUUUAUGUUCUCAAAAUUAAAAUAUAACAGUUUAAGCAUGCACUGAAAUGAAAUCUGUACAUAAAAGACUGGCAGAGAUGCCAAGCUAAAGAUGCAGGUCCUUUUCUUCCUGCUCCUUUUGAAUGUGUUUCCACAUGAGGACAAGGAUUAAAUUGUUUCUUUCUGUUGCCUUUUUUGUACUCUGAGGAGUUUAGUUAGAAAAGUCAGCAGGUGACGUGUAAGCACUUGUCAUUCUUUGCUGUGUAGCAUUUAUUCCUAAUAUUGUGAUCAGAAAACUAAGAGUCUUCGUGUUAUUUUUGAAGGCUCCUUAUAACUGAGCAACAUCUGUAGUGGGGCUCUUGUGAGGCUGAUUAAUUUGUCUGGGUCUUAUGUAGCUGUAACUGAAAUGAUGGCUGUGUCAACACCAGCAAACCUGAUAUUUGGCAUGGGUAUGUGACUGUGUGUGAGCCCAUAUCAGUGAAUCUAUUUCUACCUCUGUGCACUCCAAACUAAAAUAUAAUGAAGGCAUCCAAUCACCCAACAAGUACCAAACUAAAGUUUAUACACCUUUAUUUUGCAAUGCAUGGUGGCACAGGACAGUUCUGCCACAGCCAUCCAGGACCAGGAGCUACGUUGAGCUGUGGUCAUGGUAGUUACCAUGGGCUUCUUUUUAUUUGCCUGUUUUCUAAGCCAGUAGGGUUUGUUUCAUUCAGUUUUGUGCUUUCUUUCAUGGCCCUGAGGGACAGACAUCUACUUUUUAAUGAAAGCUGAGAUUCUCACAUAAUGAUUUCCACUCAGGAGCUGGAGCUUCAGGAAAAACACCCAUUAUCACAAAACACCACGAAAAAAAUCUCAGGAGAGUUGGCAACAUUAAGUUUAGGUAAGGUUUGAAUGGCUUUGUGGGAGGUUUGUAGAAAAUAUGACUCUGUGGUAUAUAUCAGGUUUAACUAGAUCUUUCUGAAAAUUCUUUCCAAUUGUGCAUGUUAACAGAUGGAUGGAAAGGAGCUUGAUUGAUACAUCAACUUGCAGGGUCUGGAGAAGGUUUUAUCUUGGCUGUGCCUAAGAACGGGGAGAAAGUACAGAAAAAUCCAGAAGUCACCUUUUCCAGAAGCCCCUUUUUCCUCCUCACUCCUCCAUGUGGCUGAUCCUCUUCUCAUCUAACUACGUUUCUCUUUUCCCCUCUACAGACACCAGAACAACUCCCACUGCUGCCCCUCACCCAUGACAUGGGAGACCAGCUCUCCCAGAGGCUUACUGGUUGCUUCACCUUGUCGCCCUUCUUGGCUUGAGCUUUGGCAUUUGCACCAGACCUGGGAUUCCACCAUGCCUAACCUCAGGCUGAAGCAGAGAUUAUGGGAGUAGAGAGGCUAAACUCUACCUGGCCUCCUGCUGAAGAAGCAAGAAGAUCUCCUUGUGUCCUCCUGCUCUUGGCCCUGGGACAUUGUCUGCACAAAGCCAGAGGAACUUCAAGAACUUCAAGCGAGAGCAGGGUGCUGCCGCUCGGGGAGCAGCUGCCCAUCUGCUGAGCCUCCUCUCCCCACCUCGGGCUGUUUGCUGGUGGACACGAACCCGCAACACUGGCAGCUGUGGCAAACAUUUGGUUAUCUGGCCCUUUGGUGCAAGUUGAAUUUUCUUACGUAUGUGCAAAAUGUGGAAAAAAAUACUGGCACCUGUGGUCAUCUGCAUGGGUGUGAGUCAGGUGCUGGGCAGAAGUUCAGCAGAAAAUACCCACCCUAAAAGUGGGAAAAUCUAGAGGCCUCCAUUUCUAUUUUGUGACACUUCUAUUUUUCAUGUCUGUGUUCUUUCUUCUUCUCUGGGGCUCUUUCCAGUAGCACGUGCUCUAUAAAUACAGAUUUAAGACAUGACCUCUAGUUAGAAGUUUUCUCUCUCUCCCUCCCAGACUGGACAGUCACAUUUCUUAUUUUCCCUUUUUUAGCUCUGAUGCUGUUGUUAGAGGCUUGGGGACACAGGUGCAUGUGUGGGAGAGCAGAGCCAUAGCCACAAGUUGCACACUCUUUGUUUUGCUGUUGGAAGACUUUCCUGUUUUACCUCCAUCCACAGCUAGAGAAAAACAUGGGGAUGCAGAAGAAUCCCUGUAUGACAGAGAUUAAAUAUGUUUCACCUCUUACAGCUGGCUUCAAAAGCUCAACACGCUGGAAAACUGUGAUGAGUCAGUAAUAACCGUGAAAAGAAAAUAGACAUGGUUCUUCUUAUGGUAGCGUUUCUAGGUCUGCUUUGUUUCAAGCCUCCCUUUUAGGAGAAAGUGGGAAAACAUUUUUUAAAAAAGCCCUGUCGUGGUUUUGUUAAAAAACAAGUUUCUGUUUUAGUGAAUUUGCCUGUCAGCUAAAGCCUUCGUAUUAGCUGCAUUUUCCUGGAGAACCAGAUACACAUUUUGGUAAACAUAGCAAUGGAAUGCAAACUUAUUGAUAAGCACGGAUGGACAUCUCACGAGAAGGGCAACGAGAAACAAGUAACCAAGGAACUGACCAACUGUGUAUAACAUCCCAUUCACGUGAAUACUUCAUAUAAAAGUGGGAGAUCACGAGGAUCUCGUCCCUUUUUCCCUUCUGCUUAUGGCCGAUAUUAGGAGAGGACCUUGCUAGUCGUCCCUGCGAACUGAAGCCUAGUGAGAGACUGAAUCCAUCUCCGGUUGGCUGCAGAGUUCAAUCCAGGGCUUUGGUUGCUGGCUCUGCAGUUGCUGAGACUUUCAAGAGUGGUUUUAUAUAUUUUGCAUUAUUUUCUCUGUUCUUAUUGGUAGCAUUAGUAAAACAUCUUGAAUUUUUCCAA